GAUGAACGCUGGCGGCGUGCCUAAUACAUGCAAGUCGAGCGAAUGGAUUAAGAGCUUGCUCUUAUGAAGUUAGCGGCGGACGGGUGAGUAACACGUGGGUAACCUGCCCAUAAGACUGGGAUAACUCCGGGAAACCGGGGCUAAUACCGGAUAACAUUUUGAACCGCAUGGUUCGAAAUUGAAAGGCGGCUUCGGCUGUCACUUAUGGAUGGACCCGCGUCGCAUUAGCUAGUUGGGGAGGUAACGGCUCACCAAGGCAACGAUGCGUAGCCGACCUGAGGGGGGGAUCGGCCACACUGGGGCUGAGACACGGCCCAGACUCCUACGGGAGGCAGCAGUAGGGAAUCUUCCGCAAUGGACGAAAGUCUGACGGAGCAACGCCGCGUGAGUGAUGAAGGCUUUCGGGUCGUAAAACUCUGUUGUUAGGGAAGAACGAGUGCUAGUUGAAUAAGCUGGCACCUUGACGGUACCUAACCAGAAAGCCACGGCUAACUACGUGCCAGCCGCCGCAGUAA
rnacentral:rRNA from 1 species